rfam:Salmo salar isolate Sally breed double haploid chromosome ssa23, whole genome shotgun sequence.
GAAUCUACUAACUAUAAGUCGCUCUGGAUAAGAGCGUCUGCUAAAUUACUAAAA